rnacentral:lncRNA from 12 species
GCUUGGCUUGGAAGACUGAGAGACGAAGUCAAAGUGCAUCAAAGCAAAAACUGGAAGAUAGCAGAUCGAGAAGCUGGAUGGACAUCAGAUAUGCACCCUCGGGGAAGAGGCUGAAUUUUAGAUGCAGUAGGAUAGCCGGGAAGACAAGAACAGGAGCUUACCUGGGCAGCGGCACCAGCAUCCAGGAGCCCCUUGGACUGGACUUUUGUUCGCCUCGCAAGCAGGAAAGCCCAGUGCUGAGCAUUGCCUUGCAAAUUACUCGCUGGAAGACGAGUCCUUUAAAGAAUGAACAAAGUGAGCGUCCAUUCAAAACAAUGCUCAUGCAUUGGAAAGAGAGUGAAGGAAGCAAAAGAAAGAUCUGGGACCUGGAAAAUCAUCAUGCGAAUCAGAUUCACUCCUUCAGUUGUAAAUUCCAGGGGGUAGCUUCAGGCACGGCUGGAUCCAGGUAGUCAAAAAUGGAAUUGUCACCAGAAAGUGAUGUCUCUCCAUCUCUUGGUUCUGCUUUUCUUAGUGUUGUUAUCAUCCUCGGUUUUCUUCCUACAGGGUGCCAAGGUGGGCACACGACAAGCAGUUCCAGGCUUAACACUGUGGGUUCCAAAUGAUUUCAACAAGAGGUCCUGGGCUGAUCUCCAUGGGUUACUGCCCAUUCUUGAGGUAGUACCAGGUCUCUUGGGACACGCAAUGCUCUGAUUAGCCAGGCCUGAUCAAGAGCCAAACCUGAGGCAGGGGAUUGGGGUCAGCCUCAAUUAGAUCACCAGGCCUCCGGGUGCAGGGGGAGUAGUUUGUGAUGUAACCCAAAGAAGGAAGGUGUAGGCAGGCACAAACCACCAUGGCCCUCUACACAGUCCAUAAUCAAUGAAAGCUAUUAUUAUUGUGGAACAACCCCCGAAGGAUUAAGCGGACAUUUAUCCAACACUAGAAAGCGUGUUUGCUAUAUAGUGGUGUAUACCUAGCUAUAUAUAGCUCGUGGCACACAGUAAGGCCUCAGUAAAUGUCCACGGAGAAAACUUGACAAGAGAGUACAUAGGAACACGUACUAGAGUGUAAUCUUGUUCUAUGAAGAAAGGAGUCUGAUGGAAUGAGGGCAUGAUUUUAUGGUGUCUAGGAAAGGAGCCAGGAAACAAAGGAUAGGGAUAAAUGGCACACUUGUGAACCGAGUUCCUUAGAGACGGGGCUAAGGGCUGUUUAAUUAACUUGUAAAACGACUCUGGAGGCAGGGAGUGCGUGAGGAACUCUCCAAGGUUUGCGGAUGAUGCGAAGUGCGUGGAGAAGUAGCGUGGGCCGGGACAGUGGGGAGCUCUCGUGGACCUGAGCAGGUGGGUGAUGAAGCGGGAGCUGAGCUUUGAUGAGGACCCGGCAGGGAGGUGAUUCUAGGGGCCAGACUCCAAAUAUGGCCCAGGACACCGAGGAAGUCAAGCUAGUAGUGACGAUCCAGGAAAGGACCUGGCACUUAGCAAACACUGUUUCUUGGGAACUUCAGCUCAUGAUGGUUCUAGACAGAAAUGCAAGGGAAAACACUGAGGCUCCUGAAUAAUGGUUUGAGGACCAAGGAUCUCAUAAAAGAGUGAUGUGUUGGGACGCCUGGGUGGCUCAGUGGUUGAGCAUCUGCUUUUGGCUCAGGGCGUGAUCCUGGGGUCCUGGGAUCAAGUCCCACAUUGCGCUCCCUGCAGGGAGCCUGCUUCUCCCUCUGCCCGUGUCUCUGCUUCUCUCUGUGUGUAUCUUUCAUGAAUAAAUAAAUAAAAUCUUAAAAAAAAAAAAAGAGU